CCGAACGCUGGGCUGAGGCAGGGAGAGUCAGGCAAAUUAUACUUCUUUAUACUGCAUUCGCUCCUAAUUUAAAGGCAGCAUGUGUGGAGAAACAUUCCGACUUUGGCGAACCCAAGUGGUAAUGCAUGCCGCAAAUCUUUAACAAUCUGCUUUGGUAAGAAUCAUGUAAAGGAGGAUUCUCUCUCUAAAACUGCAUUUGACCAGCUACUCACAGCAUUCGAUGGGCACGGAGGCAACCUGCAGAGCCAGGACUCGGCCAGGCGGGGCCACAGGGGGCGCUAGAGGGAGGUGAAUACGAAACACCAAACGUACACGUGUGUUCUUCCGUCCAACGUCUGUUUCUCCUUUCCUCAGCUCAAUGUCCGAGUUCCUCAGCUUCAGGAUCCCAGCACAGUCGAUGCUACGACACAAGGUUCAGGGGGAUGUCCAGCAGUUUGGUCCCCGCCUGGACGCUCUCAUGACUCGUCGUACCCACCAUUUUCCCUGUCACCCUAAGACGGGAGAAACAUUUAAAGUUUUUGUGCUGAAUCAAAGACUGGUGCUCGGUCCAAGGUGUACCCGUGCCUCCUUUCACGUACUUGCAGCACCCCACAAUCCUGAACAGGACCAACUGGUACAGAUUAACAACAAUCAAUUCUGAUAAUUGAUUAAUCAUUUAAGUACUUUUUUUUACUGUUUUAUGUGAUUGUGAAUUUGAAUGGAAGUAAAAUGUCCUGAUUUCUAAAACACA